rnacentral:tRNA from 1 species
GGGAUUGUAGUUCAGAGGUAGAAUAUUUGCUUGGCACGCAUAUGACCCUGGAUUUGAUCCCA